rnacentral:rRNA from 1 species
UACGAAGGGGGCUAGCGUUGCUCGGAAUCACUGGGCGUAAAGGGUGCGUAGGCGGGUCUUUAAGUCAGGGGUGAAAUCCUGGAGCUCAACUCCAGAACUGCCUUUGAUACUGAAGAUCUUGAGUUCGGGAGAGGUGAGUGGAACUGCGAGUGUAGAGGUGAAAUUCGUAGAUAUUCGCAAGAACACCAGUGGCGAAGGCAGCUCGCUGGGACGGUACUGACGCUGAGGCGCGAAAGCGUGGGGAGCGAACAGG